rnacentral:rRNA from 1 species
GCUCAGGAUGAACGCUGGCGGUAUGCUUAACACAUGCAAGUCGAACGGGAAUCUUAGGAUUCUAGUGGCGGACGGGUGAGUAACGCGUGAGAAUUUGGCUUCAGGUCGGGGACAACAGUUGGAAACGACUGCUAAUACCGGAUAUGCCGGAAGGUGAAAGAUUUAUUGCCUGAAGAUAAGCUCGCGUCUGAUUAGCUAGUUGGUGGGGUAAGAGCCUACCAAGGCGACGAUCAGUAGCUGGUCUGAGAGGAUGAUCAGCCACACUGGGACUGAGACACGGCCCAGACUCCUACGGGAGGCAGCAGUGGGGAAUUUUCCGCAAUGGGCGAAAGCCUGACGGAGCAAUACCGCGUGAGGGAGGAAGGCUCUUGGGUCGUAAACCUCUUUUCUCAGGGAAGAAAAAAAUGACGGUACCUGAGGAAUAAGCAUCGGCUAACUCCGUGCCAGCAGCCGCGGUAAUACGGAGGAUGCAAGCGUUAUCCGGAAUGAUUGGGCGUAAAGGGUCUGUAGGUGGUGCUGUAAGUCUGCUGUUAAAGAGUCACGCUCAACGUGAUAAAAGCGGUGGAAACUACAGGACUAGAGUGCGGUCGGGGCAGAAGGAAUUCCUGGUGUAGCGGUGAAAUGCGUAGAUAUCAGGAAGAACACCGGUGGCGAAAGCGUUCUGCUAGUCCGCAACUGACACUGAGGGACGAAAGCUAGGGGAGCGAAUGGGAUUAGAUACCCCAGUAGUCCUAGCCGUAAACGAUGGAUACUAGGCGUGGCUUGUAUCGACCCGAGCCGUGCCGGAGCUAACGCGUUAAGUAUCCCGCCUGGGGAGUACGCACGCAAGUGUGAAACUCAAAG